rnacentral:rRNA from 1 species
UGAGGAAUUUUCCGCAAUGGGCGAAAGCCUGACGGAGCGACGCCGUGUGUGGGAUGAAGUCUUUCGGGAUGUAAACCACUGUCAGAGGGAAAGAUAAUGACGGUACCCUCAGAGGAAGGCCCGGCUAACUACGUGCCAGCAGCCGCGGUAAUACGUAGGGGCCAAGCGUUGUCCGGAAUUAUUGGGCGUAAAGCGUAUGUAGGUGGUUUGAUAAGUCAUGCGUUAAAUCUACAGGCUCAACCUGUAGCCGCGUGUGAUACUGUUAAACUAGAGAGUGGUAGAGGAAAGCGGAACUGCCAGUGUAGCGGUGAAAUGCGUAGAUAUUGGUAGGAACACCAGUGGCGAAGGCGGCUUUCUGGGCCAUUUCUGACACUGAGAUACGAAAGCUAGGGGAGCAAACGGG